AAGGUGCAGCUGUUCCAUGAUCCCCAGUUCGACGGUGAGCUUGAAUAGCCGGCCCAGCACUAUGCACUGUGUGUACAAGCAAGGUAUGGAUUGAAGCAAAAGUCCCUAAACAAGCAACAAGUGAUGACAUGAUCUCAAUUUGCACUACAGGCUGGUCACCUUCUCCAAAUUCUUCAAAUGUUGUGCGCUUAAGUGAAAAUGAGCUGUUGUAGGUGAUAUCUAAUAUCGCUCUUCGCCAUUCCGCUCUACAUAAUUAUAUAUUGUGAAGCACUUCAAAAGGUUGUUGUCUUGCUGGAGAUUGUUGCCCGAGAGCUUAGCGGGUGGCAUCUUUAUGCUUUUGCUGGAUUUAGGAUCCGGCCUUAUUGCCGGGUCAAUUUUCUUGGGAAGGCUGUGGUAAUGCCUUUUGUCGCAAUCCUUGAAGAAUUUACAUGAAGGUUGCUGACGUACAAACCAUGGGCUGAUGUAUCACCCAAGAAGAAGGCAGUACUCCGACAGUCGUCCAACAGACUAUGAGGUGUGAUCAUCAGUACCUAAACUGAGAUCGCUUCCUCUCUUGGUUCCAUGUAGGUUAUCAUGCCAUUUAUGGAUGAUGUUUGGUCUUAGGCUAUGUGUAGUAAGUAAUGGAUACCUUUACUGACAAAUUUUAUGGGAACCUUGUGUGUAUGUACCUAUUGUUAUUUCAGAACCAUAUGAUCAAUUUAA